GCAUUGAUGGUGUAGCGGUAACAUGCGGUCUUCCCAGGUAUCUUGGCCGCGCUCCGAGUUCGACUCUCGGUCAAUGCA